UACGUAGGUGGCAAGCGUUGUUCGGAAUUACUGGGCAUAAAGAGCACGUAGGUGGUUCGUUAAGUCACGUGUGAAAUCCCCCGGCUCAACCGGGGAAUUGCGCGUGAUACUGGCGAACUCGAGGCGGGUAGGGGUGAGCGGAACUCCAGGUGGAGCGGUGAAAUGCGUAGAUAUCUGGGAGGAACACCAGGUGGCGAAAGCGGCGUCCACUGGCCCGAUCUGACACUGAGGUGCGAAAG
rnacentral:rRNA from 1 species